UACGGGGGGGGUAAGCGUUGUUCGGAAUUACUGGGCGUAAAGCGAGUGUAGGCGGUUUCCUAAGUCAGGUGUGAAAGCCCCGGGCUCAACCCGGGAAGUGCACUUGAAACUGGGAGGCUAGAGUAUCGGAGAGGUUGGUGGAAUUCUCGGUGUAGAGGUGAAAUUCGUAGAUAUCGAGAGGAACACCGGUGGCGAAGGCGGCCAACUGGACGAAUACUGACGCUGAGACUCGAAAGCGUGGGGAGCAAACAGG
rnacentral:rRNA from 1 species